GACGAACGCUGGCGGCGUGCUUAACACAUGCAAGUCGAACGGAAAGGCCCUGCUUUUGUGGGGUGCUCGAGUGGCGAACGGGUGAGUAACACGUGAGUAACCUGCCCUUGACUUUGGGAUAACUUCAGGAAAAUGGGGCUAAUACCGGAUAGGAGCUCCUGCUGCAUGGUGGGGGUUGGAAAGUUUCGGCGGUUGGGGAUGGACUCGCGGCUUAUCAGCUUGUUGGUGGGGUAGUGGCUUACCAAGGCUUUGACGGGUAGCCGGCCUGAGAGGGUGACCGGCCAAAUUGGGAAUGAGAUACGGCCCAGACUCCUACGGGAGGCAGCAGUGGGGAAUAGUGCACAAUGGGCGGAAGCCUGAUGCAGCAACGCCGCGUGCGGGAUGACGGCCUUCUGGUUGUAAACCGUGUUCGCAGGUGACGAAGCGUGAGUGACGGUAAUAAGUGAAGAAGCACCGGCUAACUACGUG
rnacentral:rRNA from 1 species